AUAUUAAUAAGUUAAAAAAACUAGUAACCUUCAAAGUUAUCAAUAUAAUUCAUUGUUUAAUAUA
rnacentral:tRNA from 1 species